rnacentral:misc_RNA from 1 species
GUGAUCCAAGGUCCAAAGCCAGGGAAACCCACUGAACUCUCAAGGAUGCGCCAGAUACUUAUAAAAUUGAAACACAACACACCUCCUCACCUAAAGCAUUCUCCACCACCAGCACCAGCCCCAGCUAAGGAUGGUAAAACGAGUGAAGAUGCAGCUGCUACUGCUUCUGUCAAGGCUGCUGCUGUGGCAACCACUCCUGAGGCUGUAGCUGUUACUUGAUUGUUUUCUUAUCGACGCUGUCAUUAGUUUACAUGUAAAAGCUUUGUUACACUUUACC